rnacentral:rRNA from 1 species
GAUGAACGCUGGCGGCGUGCCUAAUACAUGCAAGUCGAGCGAACGGACGAGAAGCUUGCUUCUCUGAUGUUAGCGGCGGACGGGUGAGUAACACGUGGAUAACCUACCUAUAAGACUGGGAUAACUUCGGGAAACCGGAGCUAAUACCGGAUAAUAUUUUGAACUGCAUGGUUCAAAAGUGAAAGACGGUCUUGCUGUCACUUAUAGAUGGAUCCGCGCUGCAUUAGCUAGUUGGUAAGGUAACGGCUUACCAAGGCAACGAUGCAUAGCCGACCUGAGAGGGUGAUCGGCCACACUGGAACUGAGACACGGUCCAGACUCCUACGGGAGGCAGCAGUAGGGAAUCUUCCGCAAUGGGCGAAAGCCUGACGGAGCAACGCCGCGUGAGUGAUGAAGGUCUUCGGAUCGUAAAACUCUGUUAUUAGGGAAGAACAUAUGUGUAAGUAACUGUGCACAUCUUGACGGUACCUAAUCAGAAAGCCACGGCUAACUACGUGCCAGCAGCCGCGGUAAUACGUAGGUGGCAAGCGUUAUCCGGAAUUAUUGGGCGCAAAGCGCGCGUAGGCGGUUUUUUAAGUCUGAUGUGAAAGCCCACGGCUCAACCGUGGAGGGUCAUUGGAAACUGGAAAACUUGAGUGCAGAAGAGGAAAGUGGAAUUCCAUGUGUAGCGGUGAAAUGCGCAGAGAUAUGGAGGAACACCAGUGGCGAAGGCGACUUUCUGGUCUGUAACUGACGCUGAUGUGCGAAAGCGUGGGGACCAAACAGGAUUAGAUACCCUGGUAGUCCACGCCGUAAACGAUGAGUGCUAAGUGUUAGGGGGUUUCCGCCCCUUAGUGCUGCAGCUAACGCAUUAAGCACUCCGCCUGGGGAGUACGACCGCAAGGUUGAAACUCAAAGGAAUUGACGGGGACCCGCACAAGCGGUGGAGCAUGUGGUUUAAUUCGAAGCAACGCGAAGAACCUUACCAAAUCUUGACAUCCUUUGACAACUCUAGAGAUAGAGCCUUCCCCUUCGGGGGACAAAGUGACAGGUGGUGCAUGGUUGUCGUCAGCUCGUGUCGUGAGAUGUUGGGUUAAGUCCCGCAACGAGCGCAACCCUUAAGCUUAGUUGCCAUCAUUAAGUUGGGCACUCUAAGUUGACUGCCGGUGACAAACCGGAGGAAGGUGGGGAUGACGUCAAAUCAUCAUGCCCCUUAUGAUUUGGGCUACACACGUGCUACAAUGGACAAUACAAAGGGCAGCGAAACCGCGAGGUCAAGCAAAUCCCAUAAAGUUGUUCUCAGUUCGGAUUGUAGUCUGCAACUCGACUACAUGAAGCUGGAAUCGCUAGUAAUCGUAGAUCAGCAUGCUACGGUGAAUACGUUCCCGGGUCU